GUCAUAUGCUCGUCUCAAAGAUUAAGCCAUGCAUGUCUAAGUACAAGCUAAAAUAAAGUGAAACCGCGAAAGGCUCAUUAAAUCAGUUAUGGUUCCUUAGACCGUACCCACAUUUACUUGGAUAACUGUGGUAAUUCUAGAGCUAAUACAUGCAAACAGAGCUCCAACCGGAGACGGAAGGAGUGCUUUUAUUAGAUCAAAACCAAUCGGUAGACGGGUCCGUUACGGCGGUCUCCGUUUAUCGUACACCAAAUGGUGACUCUGAAUAACUUUUGCUGAUCGCACGGUCUCGCACCGGCGACGCAUCUUUCAAAUGUCUGCCUUAUCAACUGUCGAUGGUAGGAUCUGCGCCUACCAUGGUUGUAACGGGUAACGGGGAAUCAGGGUUCGAUUCCGGAGAGGGAGCCUGAGAAACGGCUACCACAUCCAAGGAAGGCAGCAGGCGCGCAAAUUACCCACUCCCAGCACGGGGAGGUAGUGACGAAAAAUAACGAUACGGGACUCAUCCGAGGCCCCGUAAUCGGAAUGAGUACACUUUAAAUCCUUUAACAAGGACCAAUUGGAGGGCAAGUCUGGUGCCAGCAGCCGCGGUAAUUCCAGCUCCAAUAGCGUAUAUUAAAGUUGUUGCGUUUAAAAAGCUCGUAGUUGAAUCUGUGUGUCGCACUGUCGGUUCACCGCCCGCGGUGUCAACUGGCACGUUGCGAGACGUCCUGCCGGUGGACUGUAGGUAUAUCAUUUCGGUGGUAUGCCAAGGUCCGGUUUUUUGUUAAAAAUCCUGUCCUGGUGCUCUUGAUUGAGUGUCUCGGCAGGCUGGCACGUUUACUUUGAACAAAUUAAAGUGCUCAAAGCAGGCGAAAAUUAUGCUUAAAUAGUGUGUGCAUGGAAUAAUAUAAUAGGACCUCGGUUCUAUUUUGUUGGUUUUCGGAACAUUCCGAGGUAAUGAUUAAUAGGGACAGAUGGGGGCAUUCGUAUUGCGACGUAAGAGGUGAAAUUCUUGGAUCGUCGCAAGACGGACUAAAGCGAAAGCAUUUGCCAAAGAUGUUUUCAUUAAUCAAGAACGAAAGUCAGAGGCUCGAAGGCGAUCAGAUACCGCCCUAGUUCUGACCAUAAACGAUGCCAGCUAGCGAUCCGUCGACGUUCCUCCGAUGACUCGACGGGCAGCUUCCGGGAAACCAAAGCUUUUGGGUUCCGGGGGAAGUAUGGUUGCAAAGCUGAAACUUAAAGGAAUUGACGGAAGGGCACCACCAGGAGUGGAGCCUGCGGCUUAAUUUGACUCAACACUGGAAACCUCACCAGGCCCAGACACCGAAAGGAUUGACAGAUUGAGAGCUCUUUCUUGAUACGGUGGGUGGUGGUGCAUGGCCGUUCUUAGUUGGUGGAUUGAUUUGUCUGCUUAAUUGCGAUAACGAACGAGACUCUAGCCUAUUAAAUAGACGUUACUUACCGGUAUCUCGAAGGCUCGUGGCUACCGCUUCAUUCGUCACGGGCAUUUUUCAUACAACGUACAACUUGUUGUGCCUGUAUGAUGUGUUCUGUGUGCGUUAUGUUCGGUGGUUCAUGGUUUUUACUACCGGCGUACAUAUGAAUCUUCUUAGAGGGACAGGCGACUUCUAGUCGCACGAGAUUGAGCAAUAACAGGUCUGUGAUGCCCUUAGAUGUUCUGGGCCGCACGCGCGCUACAAUGAAGGAAUCAGCGUGUCUUCCCUGGCCGAGAGGUCCGGGUAACCCGCUGAACCUCCUUCGUGCUUGGGAUUGGGGCUUGCAAUUGUUCCCCAUGAACGAGGAAUUCCCAGUAAGCGCGAGUCAUAAGCUCGCGUUGAUUACGUCCCUGCCCUUUGUACACACCGCCCGUCGCUACUACCGAUUGAAUUAUUUAGUGAGGUCUUCAGACUGGCACCCGGUGACGUUUCUAACUUCACCGAUGUCGCUGGAAAGAUGACCAAACUUGAUUAUUUAG
rnacentral:rRNA from 1 species